rnacentral:rRNA from 1 species
GCCUAACACAUGCAAGUCGAGCGGCAGCGAGAUGUGUAGCAAUACACAUUGUCGGCGAGCGGCGGACGGGUGAGGAACACGUAGGAACCUGUCCUUUAGAGGGGGAUAACUAAGGGAAACUUUAGCUAAUACCGCAUACACUCGAAAGAGGAAAGCUGCCUGUUAAAGGGUGGCGCUAGAGGAGGGGCCUGCGUCCGAUUAGCUAGUUGGUAGGGUAAGAGCCUACCAAGGCGAUGAUCGGUAACUGGUCUGAGAGGACGACCAGUCACACUGGGACUGAGACACGGCCCAGACUCCUACGGGAGGCAGCAGUGGGGAAUAUUGGACAAUGGGGCAACCCUGAUCCAGCGAUGCCGCGUGGGUGAAGAAGGCCUUCGGGUUGUAAAGCCCUUUAGGUUGGGAAGAAGUUUAUUCCGCGAAUAACGGAGUAGAUUGACGGUACCGACAGAAUAAGCACCGGCAAACUCUGUGCCAGCCGCCGCUGUAA